rnacentral:rRNA from 1 species
GGAGUUAGCCGGUGCUUCUUCUGUGAGUGAUGUCCUUCCUGCCGGCUAUUAACCCGCAGGCCUUCUUCCUCACUGAAAGUGCUUUACAACCCGAAGGCCUUCUUCACACACGCGGCAUGGCUGGAUCAGGGUUGCCCCCAUUGUCCAAUAUUCCCCACUGCUGCCUCCCGUAGGAGUCUGGGCCGUGUCUCAGUCCCAGUGUGGCUGAUCAUCCUCUCAGACCAGCUACGGAUCGUCGCCUUGGUGAGCCGUUACCUCACCAACCAGCUAAUCCGACAUAGGCUCAUCCGAUAGCGCGAGGCCCGAAGGUCCCCCGCUUUCCCCCGUAGGGCGUAUGCGGUAUUAGCCUGGGUUUCCCCCAGGUUAUCCCCCACUACCGGGGCAGAUUCCUAUGCAUUACUCACCCGUCCGCCGCUCGCCACCAGGGAGCAAGCUCCCCGUGCUGCCGCUCGACUUGCAUGUGUUAGGCCUGCCGCCAGCGUUCAAUCUGAGCCAGAAUCGAACCCUGA